CCUACGGGAGGCAGCAGUCGGGAAUCUUGCACAAUGGGCGAAAGCCUGAUGCAGCAACGCCGCGUGAGGGAUGAAGGCCCUCGGGUCGUAAACCUCUGUCGGAAGGGAAGAAAGUAUUCUGGGUUAAUACCCCAGAGUAUCGACGGUACCUUCAAAGGAAGCGCCGGCUAACUCCGUGCCAGCAGCCGCGGUAAUACGGAGGGCGCGAGCGUUAUUCGGAAUCAUUGGGCGUAAAGCGCGUGUAGGCGGCUGGGCAAGUCGGAUGUGAAAGCCCGGGGCUCAACCCCGGAAUUGCAUUCGAAACUGCUCAGCUAGAGUCUCGGAGAGGAGGGCGGAAUUCCCGGUGUAGAGGUGAAAUUCGUAGAUAUCGGGAGGAACACCAGUGGCGAAGGCGGCCCUCUGGACGAUGACUGACGCUGAGACGCGAAAGCGUGGGGAGCAAACAGGAUUAGAUACCCUGGUAGUCCACGCCGUAAACGUUGGGUGCUAGGUGUCGCGGGUAUUGACCCCUGCGGUGCCGUCGUUAACGCAUUUAGCACCCCGCCUGGGGAGUACGGUCGCAAGACUAAAACUCAAAUGAAUUGACGG
rnacentral:rRNA from 1 species